GACGAACGCUGGCGGCGUGCCUAACACAUGCAAGUCGAACGGAGAUUCAGAUGAAGCUUGCGAUUCUGAAUCUUAGUGGCGGACGGGUGAGUAACGCGUGGGUAAUCUGCCCUUAAGUGGGGGAUAACGUAGUGAAAGUUACGCUAAUACCGCAUAUUCUGUGAGCAGGAAAGCGGGGGAUCGCAAGACCUCGCGCUUCCGGAGCGGCCGAUGUCGGAUUAGCUAGUUGGCGGGGUAAAGGCCCACCAAGGCAACGAUCCGUAGCGGGUCUGAGAGGAUGAUCCGCCACACUGGGACUGAGACACGGUCCAGACUCCUACGGGAGGCAGCAGUAGGGAAUAUUGGACAAUGGGCGCAAGCCUGAUCCAGCCAUGCCGCGUGAGUGAAGAAGGCCCUCGGGUUGUAAAGCUCUUUUGUCCGGAAAGAAAAGCGCCGGGUUAAUACCCUGGUGUCCUGACGGUACCGGAAGAAUAAGCACCGGCUAACUUCGUGCCAGCAGCCGCGGUAAACUCG
rnacentral:rRNA from 1 species